rnacentral:rRNA from 1 species
GGUUGACCUCGGAUCAGGUAGGGAUACCCGCUGAACUUAAGCAUAUCAAUAAGCGGAGGAAAAGAAACCAACAGGGAUUGCCCUAGUAACGGCGAGUGAAGCGGCAACAGCUCAAAUUUGAAAUCUGGCGCAAGCCCGAGUUGUAAUUUGUAGAGGAUGCUUCAGGGCAGCGGCCGUUCUAAGUCUUUUGGAACAAGGCGUCACAGAGGGUGAGAAUCCCGUAUGCGACCGGCGCGCACCCGUCACGUAGCUCCUUCGACGAGUCGAGUUGUUUGGGAAUGCAGCUCUAAAUGGGAGGUAAAUUUCUUCUAAAGCUAAAUAUCGGCCAGAGACCGAUAGCGCACAAGUAGAGUGAUCGAAAGAUGAAAAGCACUUUGGAAAGAGAGUUAAACAGCACGUGAAAUUGUUGAAAGGGAAGCGCAUGCAACCAGACGUGCCGGCGGUGUUCCCCCGGUCUUCUGACCGGGCCACUCGCCGCCGGCAGGCCCGCAUCGCCUGGGUGCGUCGGAGAAAGGCGUGGGGAAUGUGGCUCCCUCGGGAGUGUUAUAGCCCCGCGCGCAAUACGACGCCGCCCGGGCGAGGUCCGC